GAUCCUGGCUCAGGAUGAACGCUAGCUACAGGCUUAACACAUGCAAGUCGAGGGGAAACGACAUCGGAAAGCUUGCUUUUGAUGGGCGUCGACCGGCGCACGGGUGAGUAACGCGUAUCCAACCUGCCCAUCACUUGGGAAUAACCUUGCGAAAGUAAGACUAAUACCCAAUGAUAUUCCCACGAAGGCAUCCGAAUGGGAUUAAAGAUUUAUCGGUGGAUGGAUGGGGAUGCGUCUGAUUAG
rnacentral:rRNA from 1 species